UACGGAGGGUGCAAGCGUUAUCCGGAUUCACUGGGUUUAAAGGGUGCGUAGGUGGGUUGAUAAGUCAGUGGUGAAAUCCCCGAGCUUAACUUGGGAACUGCCAUUGAUACUGUUGAUCUUGAAUACCGUGGAGGUCAGCGGAAUAUGUCAUGUAGCGGUGAAAUGCUUAGAUAUGACAUAGAACACCAAUUGCGAAGGCAGCUGGCUACGCGAAUAUUGACACUGAUGCACGAAAGCGUGGGGAUCAAACAGG
rnacentral:rRNA from 1 species